UACAGAGGUCCCAAGCGUUGUUCGGAUUCAUUGGGCGUAAAGGGUGCGUAGGUGGCGUCGUAAGUCGGGUGUGAAAUCUCGGGGCUUAACUCCGAAACUGCAUUCGAUACUGCGGUGCUUGAGGACUGGAGAGGAGACUGGAAUUUACGGUGUAGCAGUGAAAUGCGUAGAUAUCGUGAGGAAGACCAGUUGCGAAGGCGGAUCUCUGGGCAGUUCCUGACACUGAGGCACGAAGGCCAGGGGAGCAAACGGG
rnacentral:rRNA from 1 species